rnacentral:rRNA from 1 species
UUGGAAACGACUGCUAAUACCGCAUAAUGUCUACGGACCAAAGGGGGCUUCGGCUCUCGCCUUUAGAUUGGCCCAAGUGGGAUUAGCUAGUUGGUGAGGUAAUGGCUCACCAAGGCGACGAUCCCUAGCUGGUUUGAGAGGAUGAUCAGCCACACUGGGACUGAGACACGGCCCAGACUCCUACGGGAGGCAGCAGUGGGGAAUAUUGCACAAUGGGCGCAAGCCUGAUGCAGCCAUGCCGCGUGUGUGAAGAAGGCCUUCGGGUUGUAAAGCACUUUCAGUCAGGAGGAAAGCGUGGUGGUUAAUACCCAUCAUGUGUGACGUUACUGACAGAAGAAGCACCGGCUAACUCCGUGCCAGCAGCCGCGGUAAUACGGAGGGUGCGAGCGUUAAUCGGAAUUACUGGGCGUAA